rnacentral:misc_RNA from 1 species
GCGGAUGUGUACAUAUUUCCAC